rnacentral:rRNA from 1 species
UACCAGCACCCCGAGUGGUCGGGACGUUUUUUUAUUGGGCCUAAAGCAUCCGUAGCCGGUUCUACAAGUCUUCCGUUAAAUCCACCUGCUUUAACAGAUGGGCUGCGGAAGAUACUAUAGAGCUAGGAGGCGGGAGAGGCAAGCGGUACUCGAUGGGUAGGGGUAAAAUCCGUUUGAUCCAUUGAAGACCACCAGGUGGCGAAGGCAGGCCUCUGGGCAUUAACUGACGCUGGAGGAGCGAAAGCCAUGGGGAGCGAACAGG